GAUGAACGCUGGCGGCGUGCCUAAUACAUGCAAGUCGAGCGAACAGACGAGGAGCUUGCUCCUCUGACGUUGGCGGCGGACGGGUGAGUAACACGUGGAUAACCUACCUAUAAGACUGGGAUAACUUCGGGAAACCGGAGCUAAUACCGGAUAAUAUAUUGAACCGCAUGGUUCAAUAGUGAAAGACGGUUUUGCUGUCACUUAUAGAUGGAUCCGCGCCGCAUUAACUAGUUGGUAAGGUAACGGCUUACCAAGGCAACGGUGCGUAGCCGACCUGAUGGGGGGUACGCCCCCACGGGAGGUGAGACACGGUCCAGACUCCGAGGGAAGGCAGCAGCAGGGAAUCUUCCGAACAGGGCGAAAGCUUGACGGAGCAACGCCGGGGUGGUGAUGAAGGGCUUCGGAUGGGAAAACGCUGUUAUUAGGGAAGAACAAAUGUGUAAGUAACUAUGCACGUCUGAAGGGUACCGAUGCAGAAGGCCACGGUUAACUACGU
rnacentral:rRNA from 1 species